UCACUGAUCGCUUGUGUGUCUUGAGGUGCUGUCAGUGGUGGACCAUGGAGAUGCUGACUUUUCAUGUACACCAGGAGCAGAUGAGAUCCAGGAGGAAAGCAAUUGUAUGGCCAAAUUCAGGAUGUCUGGUGGGAAUGAAGACAAGUGAAAUGAAAAUUCCCAGAGCUGAGGAGAAAACAGAACUCAAACAGAUGCUGCUGGAGAAUGAACUUCCACAGUGCUGCUGUCCUCCUGUCUGGUGAACAUGGCAUCCUGCUGCUGCUCUUUUUUAACAAUGUUUCUUCCGACCUGCUCAAGUAUGCAGUCUCGGAUGAUGUCAUCGUGAAGUAGGCAGUUGUAUUGAACAAAGGCUUUCUUCAGAACAGCAACAAUUAAAACUUAUGGCAGAGUACAACACCAGACGCCACUGAAAUACAGAGAUAAGCUCCCCAGUUUUAAGGUAGCUCUAGACAGGGCUUUCGAUCCCUCAGUAGCUGGUGCCCCUGGGGACUGGCUUGAAGAGAAGUCCUACAGCUGUCAGUGACAUACCUGGCC